CGCGUAGGCGGUUUUGCAAGUCGGGUGUGAAAUCCCCAAGCUUAACUUGGGAACUGCAUUCGAGACUGCAUUGCUAGAGUAUGGGAGAGAGAAGUGGAAUUUCCGGUGUAGCGGUGAAAUGCGUAGAUAUCGGAAGGAACAUCAGUGGCGAAAGCGACUUCUUGGACCAAUACUGACGCUCAAGUGCGAAAGCGUGGGGAGCAAACAGGAUUAGAUACCCUGGUAGUCCACGCCAUAAACGAUGAGAACUGGAUGUCGGGAGGGUCUGCCUCUCGGUGUCGUAGCUAACGCGAUAAGUUCUCCGCCUGGGGAGUACGGCCGCAAGGUUGAA
rnacentral:rRNA from 1 species